rnacentral:rRNA from 1 species
AACGAACGCUGGCGGCAUGCCUAACACAUGCAAGUCGAACGAGACCUUCGGGUCUAGUGGCGCACGGGUGCGUAACGCGUGGGAACCUGCCCUUAGGUUCGGAAUAACUCCCCGAAAGGGGUGCUAAUACCGGAUAAUGUCUUCGGACCAAAGAUUUAUCGCCUUUGGAUGGGCCCGCGUUGGAUUAGCUAGUUGGUAGGGUAAAAGCCUACCAAGGCGACGAUCCAUAGCUGGUCUGAGAGGAUGAUCAGCCACACUGGGACUGAGACACGGCCCAGACUCCUACGGGAGGCAGCAGUGGGGAAUAUUGGACAAUGGGCGAAAGCCUGAUCCAGCAAUGCCGCGUGAGUGAUGAAGGCCUUAGGGUUUUAAAGCUCUUUUACCCGGGAUGAUAAUGACAGUACCGGGAGAAUAAGCUCCGGCUAACUCCGUG